CGAUGAUACGCGAAGAACCUUACCAGGUCUUGACAUCCCCCGCGAUGCUUUAGAGAUAAAGCGGAGGUAUUCGGGGAGACAGGUGGUGCAUGGUUGUCGUCAGCUCGUGUCGUGAGAUGUUGGGUUAAGUCCCGCAACGAGCGCAACCCCUAUUGCUAGUUACCAUCAUUAAGUUGGGGACUCUAGCGAGACUGCCAGUGAUAAACUGGAGGAAGGUGGGGAUGACGUCAAAUCAUCAUGCCCCUUAUGACCUGGGCUACAAACGUGAUACAAUGGCUGGAACAAAGGGAUGCGAAGCAGUGAUGUGGAGCGAAACCCAUAAAAACAGUCUCAGUUCGGAUUGAAGUCUGCAACUCGACUUCAUGAAGUCGGAAUCGCUAGUAAUCGCGGAUCAGAACGCCGCGGUGAAUACGUUCUCGGGGUUU
rnacentral:rRNA from 1 species